rnacentral:rRNA from 1 species
CUUAAAGGAAUUGACGGAAGGGCACCACCAGGCCGUGGAACUUGCGGCUCAAUUUGACUCAACACGGCAAUUUUACCCGGCCCGGACACAGGAAGGAUUGACAGAUUAAGAGCUCUUUCUUGAUUCUGUGAAAAGUGGUGCAUGGCCGUUCUUAGUUGGUGGAGUGAUUUGUCUGGUCAAUUCCGAUAACGAACGAGAUUCUAUCCUACUAAAUAGACGUUCCGAUCCUUCUCAGUCGGACGUUCUUCUUAGAGGGACAGGCGGCGUUCAGCCGCAUGAGACAGAGCAAUAACAGGUCAGUGAUGCCCUUCGAUGUUCGGGGCCGCACGCGUGUUACAUUGAAGGAAUCAGCGUGUGCUUUCCCUGUCCGACAGGAUUGGGUAACCCGUUGAAACUCCUUCGUGCUGGGGAUAGGAAUUUGCAAUUGUCUUCCUUGAACGAGGAACGCCUAGUAAGCACGAGUCAUUAGCUCGUGUUGAUUAUGUCCCUGCCCUUUGUGCACACCGCCCGUCGCUGCUAGCGAUGAAUGGUUUAGUGAGAUCUCCGGACCGGCGCCCGUACUGGACUUCGGUUCGAGACGGCGUGCUGGAAAGAUGACCAAACUUGAUCAUCUAGAGCUCGCAAAAGUCGUAACAAGGUUUCC